CUAUGUCAAUCAAUUAUUGAUCAGAUGACAUCGUCAGCUAACUUGAUUUACAAAUAGUAACAGAAUAGCAAAUACGUAUUAUAAGUAGGUAUGUGCCUAAGCGAAUACUAUGUAAUAAUAUCUGCACUUGUCGCGCAAAUCUCCGGCUAACCUCAUGGACUGCUGAAAAUGUGACGAAUAUUUUUUUACGUUCGGCAUUUAAAGAAAAUUUAUUUGUAUGGCGGUCAAUGUUCUUCCAGAAUAAAACGUCAUGUGUAUAAAAUUCGAUAGCCAGAUUGUGUCUGGUAACGUUAUCGUGAAACUGGUGAACUGACUGAAAGAUACCCUAGCGGGAAGCGUGUAACCACUCGACGACAAGGUAUAUUUUUGCAUUUUUUCUCGAGAAGAUAACCAAAUCUGACGGUUAUGCCUUUGAAAGGCUCCAGCCUGAGCAACAAUUACUUGUAAAUGACUUAAGUUGCGAGGAGAAGACCCCACGAAGCUAGCCUUCAUACUCGAAUACCGCUUUCUACUACAGCACUAUCUCGAGGAAAUCUUGGGUGAAGAUUACAAUAGGCCCGGAAGAUAACCACUAAGCAUUUGACCAAAGAGGCGAACCGAUGUCCAACUACUAAUUUAAUUUUAAAAUUACUGUCAUUGAGAUUAAGCACUAUUUGAUUGUAGUAGAUAAAUUCGUUUUUUGACGUGGUAAUGGUUGGUUUGGGGUGCAUCCUGCUACCACCGAGGGUGGGGGAAAACCAAUGUCGGAAUAGGCAAUAGCGUCUUAGAGGCUAACUGGAUACUACCGGUGAAAAACCUCAGAGUAGCGGUACUGUUGUUUAUUUCCUUCCCACGACUCAAGAUUUUUGUUAAAAGGUAUUAUUGCAAACAUUACUUAUAGUUUAUGAGUAUUCAACUUUGUAUUACAUUACAUUACGUUGAACUCCUAUUUUAUGCAUUUACUCAUAAUACAAUUCAAAUAUGUAUUGUGCAAAAGUAUUGCCAUGAUAAUCAUCUGGUCACUUACGCAAGCAUAAAAUUCCACCCUCUGACUGAGUAUCAUCAAAAUAAUUUUAGUUUUUUUACGCACCACGACCUUGAUGAAAGUGAGCUGUUUGGUCUGAUCAAUGAUGAAUGAUCUACAGCAGCGGAAGAUUAACGUGACGUCAGAAAUGGCUCAAAGGCUAGACUGUAUAAGGUGAUAGUUUCUAAGCAUUUUAAGAUGUAUUAUAAUCAUACUCCUCGAAAACACCUUACGUUUAAAUAUACAAAUAAAGAGAAUAUUGAUUUUGAUUUGUUUGUAAUUUUUAUCCUAUAUAUUUUCAUUCAUAAAGUUUAUUAUAAGGAUAUGAUUAAUGUGGAUAUGAACAAUAAUGAUAUGUGUGUAUAUUUAUAUAGGUAUAUAUGUGUAAAGAAAAAACCUUGAUCAUUUAAAACCUUUUUAAACUCUUUAGUUUAAAAAAUGUUUUUUCCUAGACGGAAUCGCUCACCUGUCGUGUCAUUCAGUGAAAAGAGAGUUCAGUUUCGUAGAGUAUAAUAUUACUGUUUGAAAUAUUAAUUUUGAAAGAGAUUAAGGGCUUAUAUAUAUAGGCUUAUAUAAGCCUAUUGUUUCCUCAUUAUAUCAUUCUGUAAUAUUCCAUAUCAUAUAUGUAUGUAUACAUGUGUACAUACAUGUAUAGAGCUAUAGAUAAAGGUCGGCAUUACAUAUAUAAAGCCACAAUUAUUACCAAAAUUGUAUUAAUUGUAUUGUAUUUGAUCACUACAAUAGAAAUUGGGAAAUAAAUAAAUAAAACAAGACUACCUUUGUAAAUUAAACAGUGAAAUUUAACAGUUUAAAUUUUAAUUAGAAAUUUUAAAGCGGAAAAGCUUUGAAAACAAAGAAGUGAUUUUUAGAAUAUAUUAUAAUAUCUACAAUUUUUUAUUAUCGUUUGAAUUCUUUUAUUUUAUACUGUCUUCGAAGGCAGACAAGCUAACGACGCACCUAAUGGUGGGUGGUCCCUGCCACUCAUGAACAUCCGCAUUUCCAGAAGGCACAGCCAAGCUGCGUAUUGCUAUGGACUCUCAUUGAAGCGCAUGUCAUAACUCUCAAGGAAUACCGUGGAGUUCAUCCCACGGCGGGAUGGUAUAUGGCAAAGGCAAAGAAAAACUUGCCGGCUUAAGGUUGUGUGAAGGUCAAAUUAAAACAUAAAACUGAAAAAAACGUCGAAUUCAGUACAUAGCUUUUUGGAAAAUUUAAAUUUAUAUCAAGCCAGUUUGAUUUUUAUUGGAUUAUGAGUUCAAUAUUCUCCUGGCGGUAAACUGUUGGAAUCGUAAAUUGAAUGUCACUUGCUGUUUUACUUCAAAUGAAAGGCGAUGACAAUCGUUGGGAAGAUGUUGACCCUAUGCGAGGUCAACAAACUGCAGCACUAGUUAUUGCUUUUUAUAAAAAUAUAAUAGAUAACUCAAUUAACAUUUUUAAUUAACCUUCGUGUAGAUUCAAUAAAGAUAUCAUACGAUACA